rnacentral:rRNA from 1 species
GACGAACGCUGGCGGCGUGCUUAACACAUGCAAGUCGUACGGUAAGGCCCUUUCGGGGGUACACGAGUGGCGAACGGGUGAGUAACACGUGAGUAACCUGCCCACAACUUUGGGAUAACGCUAGGAAACUGGUGCUAAUACUGGAUAUGUUCUCCUGCUGCAUGGUGGGGGUUGGAAAGCUCCGGCGGUUGUGGAUGGACUCGCGGCCUAUCAGCUUGUUGGUGGGGUAGUGGCCUACCAAGGCGGCGACGGGUAGCCGGCCUGAGAGGGUGACCGGCCACAUUGGGACUGAGAUACGGCCCAGACUCCUACGGGAGGCAGCAGGGGGGAAUAUUGCACAAUGGGCGCAAGCCUGAUGCAGCAACGCCGCGUGCGGGAUGACGGCCUUCGGGUUGUAAACCGCUUUCAGCAGGGACGAAGCUUUUUGUGACGGUACCUGCAGAAGAAGCACCGGCUAACUACGUG